GUAGAGUCCCAACUGAGAUGUUAAACAGUUUUUCCUCUCAGGUAAGACAAUAUUUUCUAACAAUUGAGGUUUUGAGGAACCAGACACCAGUGGUUGAAGGGGAGAGAAUGAUUCCACUAUAGGGCUCAUGGGGGUCUAGCUCUUUAGCCUCCCAUGGCCACUGAUACCCUGUAUUGGUUUCUCUACACACAUGGCAAGAAGACAUGUUUAGAGAUUGAACCAGAGCCUCUGCCAAGGUUAGGAAUGGGUUUCUGUUUAUGGCGAAGAUAGGAGACAGGCUUUUCUCCAUUUCCUCAUAAAAGGAAUGAAAGAUCUGGUAGGAGGAAGACUUCAGUGAAGUUGUAACCCUUUUGAAGUACCAUUUGGUUCCAGGGCAGCACCUCCUCCAAACUAUACAUAGGCCAGUUGGAUGGCCUGUUCUCCAUCCUGAGUCUUCAGGGUCAACAAUAGUGAAAUUAACAAAAUUAUAGGCUUGCAAUUUAUAGUUGGUGUAGCAACACCCUUUUGAAGUUUGGGAGUUUUACUGUUACCACUCUGCCAGGUGACCCAUGCAACACAACUGUAAGAGGGACCAAAAAACUCAGCAUAAUCAGUACCCAUGGACCCCACACACCAUUUUCAGGCUGUUGACACAUAUACUUGACAUUGAACCUGUACCUCAUUUCCCCAGAUAUGUCUCCAUGUGAUGUGGUGGACUUACUGAGACCAUAGGGCAGGUAACAUCAAGUGCUCAAGUCUCACUCAUGACUUCCCAUGCAUCAAGGAUACUGACACUGGUUGCUUUAGAUUAGUCAACUGUGUAAAUUAAUGGACCUGUUUCACGUCGCCUUCUGGUAAGCUUUGGACUUCCAGCCAAUCCCCAGCUGGGUAAUACUGUGGAUUGAAACAAGUAUAUUGAUCCUCCUGUCGGCAGAUAGAAUAUGUGGUCUUGUUAUACCUGCAGGUCCCCGAGACUGUUCCCUGGCAGGAAAAAUGAUAAAGUAGGUUGUGGCAACACCUUGGCCUGAUUGAAUCAUGUGAAGGCCUGGGUCACAGGAUGAAGAGCUUAAAUCUAAAAAUGGGAGCCAGAUCAGAUGCUUCCAAUGGCAACAAAAUGCCCUAUCAAAAGGGGGUGAAGAGUGUACAACCAGAGAUAUGAAAAAUUGUGCUCUAUAUGUGUAAUAUGAAUUGUAAUGCAUUCUGUUAUCAUAUGUAACAUCAAAAUUUUAAAAAGAAUUUUAAAAGGGUGGGGUGAAGAAACUGCUAAUAGAAACUUUU
rnacentral:lncRNA from 1 species